rnacentral:rRNA from 1 species
AACGGCCAUACCAUGCUGACUAUACCGGUUCUCGUUAGAUCACCGAAGUCAAGCAUCAUUGGGCGCAGGUCAGUACUUGGGUGGGUGACCACCUGGAACACCGCGUGCCGUU